GGAUCCGCCAUCUCAGAUCUCGGCCUUGCCAGGGCCCACCAGAGAAAACUAACGCUCUGGUCCUGUCAUACCUAUGGGGGACCAACCUUGUGCCUCCGGGAGAUCCACGCUCCCACCAGGAAAUACGCGGGAACCCAAGCCUCCAAAAAAGCGCUGUGUCCUGGCUCCGCGGUGGGAUUAUCCCGAAGGGACUCCCAGUGGAGGUAGUAGCACUCUCCCCUCGGCGCCUCCUCCUGCAUCUGCUGGACUCAAGUCGCACCCUCCUCCUCCGGAGAAGUAGUGAAAUAGAUUUUUUUCCCAGCCGAAAUCAGUUUGUGAGGGACUGCAGUAUGGCUUCAUUUCCUUGGUGCGUUUGUAAAAUAGUUCACCCAUUGAAGACCAUGAAGGUUCUUUCCAAUGCUGCCCUGCUUUUGCUGGUGUCUUGCUCCUGGAAGUUGUGAUGCUAAAGGCUCAUCUUAUAUUUUCUACCCCAUUGACCAUUUCUCUAUUUGACUGUGCCACUUGGAGACCGUAUUUACAAACUGAGGUGUGGAACUAUGGAUUUUUUUUAAUCUUUCGUUAUUUCACAUUUAAUUUCUGAGUACAAACAUUGUUUCAUAUUUGUUGAAAUUUGCUUUAAGUCUUAGAGAACAUAAUCACUAUUGUGUCUUGUGUGUUUGUAAAGGGUUUGUAUAUUCCAACUGUUUUAUAAAAGGGUCUAUAAAUAUCUGUUAAAUAUAUUACCUUGUUGUAUAAAUCUUCUAUAUCCACAGUAAAGUAUAGGAUAUACCUUUUA
rnacentral:lncRNA from 1 species